rnacentral:rRNA from 1 species
UACGUAGGGCGCAAGCGUUGUCCGGAAUUAUUGGGCGUAAAGAGCUCGUAGGCGGCUUGUCACGUCGGUUGUGAAAGCCCGGGGCUUAACCCCGGGUCUGCAGUCGAUACGGGCAGGCUAGAGUGUGGUAGGGGAGAUCGAAUUCCUGGUGUAGCGGUGAAAAUGCGCAGAUAUCAGGAGGAACACCGGUGGCGAAGGCGGAUCUCUGGGCCAUUACUGACGCUGAGGAGCGAAAAGCGUGGGGGAGCGAACAGG